rnacentral:rRNA from 1 species
GUGCCAGCCGCCGCGGUAAGACAGAGGUGGCAAGCGUUGUUCGGAUUUACUGGGCUUAAAGGGCGUGUAGGCGUCCUGAUAAGUCAGGUGUGGAAUCCCUGGGCUCAACCCAGGAAUUGCACUUGAAACUGUCAGGAUUGAGUCAUGCAUAGGAGGGCGGAAUUCCUGGUGUAGCGGUGAAAUGCGUAGAUAUCAGGAGGAAGGCCUGUGGCGAAGGCGGCCCUCUGGGCAAUGACUGACGCUGAGGCGCGAAAGCGUGGGGAGCAAACAGGAUUAGAUACCCUGGUAGUCCACGCCCUAAACGGUGGGUACUCGGUGUGGGUGACAAUAGUCAUCUGUGCCCAAGGGAAACCGUUAAGUACCCCGCCUGGGGAGUACGGUCGCAAGGCUGAAACUUAAAUGAAUUGACGGGG